rnacentral:lncRNA from 1 species
UACAAAGAAGUUCUAAAAGACUACAAGAAAGAGUUUCCACUAAAGAAAAACAAUGAAACCAUUUCUACUAAAGACAAACAAUGAAACCACAGAUGCUUUGUGAAAUAUGUACCCGCACAAUCCAACAAACUUUAGAAAUUCACAAACACUACCUAGAAUUUUUGCUGACCAGCAAAAAAUUUAUGCAAUUUAAUUCUUAUUGUUAUUAUUAUUUUCAAUGUGAACAAAUAUGAUUGAAUUAUGAAGUAUUUGGCCAGAAGAGGAUCUUGCCUAAUUAUAGUCAUUAAACAACCAUUUAUACCAUAGCCUCUAGACUUUAAAAAGUUUAUAAAACUCAAGGGCUUCCACCCAAUUUCUAGAUAUCUCCAUAACAUUCUUCUGACUAUUAGAAAGCAAUUACCACUUUAAUUUUUCAUUUCAUGAGUGUUCAAUUCAGAAAAAGACCAGGAUCGAACUUGCGAUCAUGCAGUCGAAAAUCCACCUGUGCAUGAAACUAUUGCCUCACGAUUGCAAACUCAAGUUGGAGUCCAGUAACAACUCUAGGUUUGCUGAUGUGCUCCAUUUGAAAUAAAGGAACUAAAGAAUACUUUAUAAAGAUUAAUUACCUUCAUAUUUUAGGUUGGGGUUAAGGCAAAAUGUGAUAGAUUGAGAGGAAGAAAAUAUAUCUUGUUCAGGAAGCCAAUAUUUUGGAGUUCACCUUUCCAUUCGAGUCCACUCUGCUAUAGCAAAAUCAGAGUCACAACUAUGCCUCUUUAAGCUAUCCUUUAAUUGGAUGAAUUGCAGAUUUGGUUGCUGAGAAAGUGGAUAAGAAAGAAAAAUGCAUACUGUAGCUUGAGAUUAAGAGUUUGUUUUCUAAAAUGAGAGAAAGGGAAAGAGAAAAAAUGCAUAUUGUAGCUUGAGAUUAAGGGUUUGUUUUCUAAAAUGAGAGAAAGGGGAAGAGAAAUGUUCGACAACUUUGAGAUGACAAAUUUUUAGAUUUGGAAAAUUUGAGAUGAGUCUCAGGUUUUUUUUUUUUUUUUUUUGUCUUUGUCUUUGUUUUUUUUUUUUUUUUUUGUUUUUUUCCCAAAAACAACCUGUUAAUGUGGUUGUUGACAUAGAAGUGGGUGAGGGCAAAAUGGGCAUAGAAAAAAGAGUCAACACAAAGUGCACAAAACCCAUAUUAUUUUCCACAUUAAUGACUGAUUCUCAUAUUUCUUGUUCUUGGGAUUUGAAAACCAUAUUAUUUGCAAAUGGACCUCCCAAAGCACAGGUUUCCCUUAGUUUUAUGUCUCCAUCUACAUUUUACAUAUAAAUAGAUUAUUUUAUAAAAUUUGUUUUGUAGAUAUAUUAGUUAAUAAUUAUAUAAUUAAUGAUAUAGAAAACAUAUAAAAAUCAUAUUUAAAAAAGAUAAUUACAUAUUCCUCAACAAUCCAUCCCAAGAAUUCGAGGUUGAGUUGAAAACAUGUAGAGUCUUUGAUGUUAUUAUAAUCAUAUCCAACACAUAUGAUUAUUGUUUAUGAGAUAUUAUUAGAAAGUUUGUCUUAAAAUAAUUGAUUUAUUACCCACCUUUAGCAAAUGCCCAUUUUUGCGUCUUUCAAAAUUUUCAUUUUUUUUUUGUUUAAAAGAAGUAUUGUAAAGAAUGAUGAAAUAAGAAAUUUGUUGAGAAAGUGUGAGUAAAUAAUUUUACAUAAAAAGAGAUUUAAUACUUGAUAAAUAAAAUAAUAAAAUCAUGAUUUCUAGUUGUAUAGGGCCGGGUGGAUGGAGUGGCUAAGAUGUAAUUCUUGAAAUAGAGGAGACAACAUCAAUGUAUAAAAGUUUAACAGAGAAGGAAAGUGUGUUUGAAUGACUUUAUUUUCUUCAUUUAAAGUUUUGACGAUGAGUGUUUAUACAAGAUAAAUUUUCAAAUGAUAGGACUCCUAUUUACAUGGAGUUUGUGAUAUACUAUGAUUAUACAAAUUUAAAAUUCAAACAGAUUCAUGAGUUGAUAGGAGUCUGCUCAAUACGCCCCUUCAAAAUGGUGGGAGAUAGCACACCAAUCUUGACUCGAAGGGCCUAAACUCGUGCAGAAGAUGAGGGCUUUGUUAGAGCAUCGACAAGUUGAUCCGUGGUUGACAUAUGGGACACCUUGAGCUCACCUGAUUAAACCUUGUUUCAAACAAAAUGAAAAUCAAUCGCCGAUGUGUUUCAUGGAGAGUGAAACAUGGGAUUUGCACAAAGAUAUGUUGCACCCACGUUAUCACAAGAGAUAGGAGGUGGUGAUAAAUUUGAAACACUAAGUUUUGAGAGAAGAGAAUUAACCCAAAGAACCUUUGAGGCUGUAGAGGCCACGACGUGAUAUUUCGCUUCAGUGGAAGAGCGUGCUAUGAACUUUUGUUUCCUCGAUGACCAAUACACAAGAUUGUGACCAAGAAAAACAAUGGGAGCAUUGGUGGAGGAUCUGACAUAAGGAUUCCUUGCCCAUUCAACAUUCGAAUAUGCAUGUAGAUUGAUGGGCGAUUUCUUAUGCAAGAACAGACCAUGCACCAUUGUGCCGACUAAGUAUCUAAGCAAUCUUUUAACACAAGACCAAUGUGUUGAUGUUGGAUGGUGCAUAAAUUGAGAUAAUUUAUUCAUCAAGAAGGUGAUGUCAGGGCUAGUAAGAGAGAAGUAUUGAAGGCUUCCAACAAUUGACAUAUAUUUAGUGGGACCAGGAAAAGAGGUGUCAUCACACAGAUUUGGAACAUUGUUGAGGAACAUCAAUGAUUGAACUGGUUUGGUAGCCACCAUUUGUGUUUUCUUAAGAAGCUCUCGAAUGUACUUGAGAUAAAAAUAAUCCUUUGGAAGUAUGUAUCAUUUCAACACCAAGAAUAAAAGAUGAAGUCCUGAGAUCCUUAAUGGAGAAUUUGACUGCUAAUUGAGAGAUCACGCGAGCACGAAAAACAUUAUUGUUACUUGUUAAAAUAAGAUCAUCAAUAUAAAUAAGUAGGUAAACAAUGAGACCACUCUUUUUAAAAAUGAAGAGGGAUGUCUCGGUUUAGGAGUUGACGAAGGCUAUUGAGAGGAGAAAUUGGCAAAGUUCAUGAUACCAUGAUCGUGGAGCUUGUUUAAAGCCAUAAAAAGCCUUACAAAGUUGGCAAAUGUGAUGAUGUGUGUAUUCGUGAACCCAGGAGGUUGAAUCAUGUAAACAUCUUCAUGAAGUGUCCUAUGCUAGAAUGCAUUAUUAAUGUCCAAUUCAUGAGUUGAUAGGAGUCUGCUCAAUACAAUGUGGGAGUGUGAUUUCAAAAUUAGGGUAAUUUCGAAAUGGAUUUUGUAUUCACAAGUUGAAUUUCAAAAUUAUUUUGAAAUGGUCUUUUAACUUUAAGCAGUUGUGUUCAAAAGGUCAUAACUUCUUCGUUUCAAUUUUGAUUUACACAUUGUUUAAAACAUUGGACUCUUUACUUCCCGAGCUUCAAAACGAUAUAUAGUAUGCUCAAAAAUGACAUCAGGAUUGGUUCAAAUUUCAUCUUGAUAUUAGAGUACAUGUUGUGAUUAGAUUUUGAGUUCCAAAUUUCCAUGUAAACUUGAUUGCAUUUGCUUCAAACCUCCUUCAUUAUGGUUGCUUGCCCUCUAUCUCACUUUGCAACAUUUGUUACUAGUAUUUUAUGUCCAUGACUUACUCAUUUCAACCUUUCUUGGAUUCUUCAUGGUUCACAAAUUAUGGAUUCUUCAUGGUUCACAAAUUGAGUCUUUCAAUUAUGCAUGUUUAACUCCUAUUUCCUUGGUUGAUAAUGACUUUUACACUUAUCAUUUUCUUUUAUUCUUUAAACCUGAAUUUAGACUUACAAAAAAAAGUUAGAUCCAUAACUAGGGUCUUAGCAUCAAUUUGAGUUAAGUUGGAUGAUUUGAAAAUUUUAUAUUACAUAAAUCAUAUCAUACAUGUGCCAUUGGAGUGCACAUUUUGGCUCUAAUCAUGUUCCAACCCAUUGUUUUACUCUUGCAUGAAGUAUGUGGCCAUUGAUUUUAAUUUUAUUUGCGAUUAGGUUCAAAAUGGUGCUUUUGUGUUGCUCAUGUGUCAUCAGAAGAUCAACUAAUGGAUUCUCUAACAAAACUACUACAUCAUAGUCAUUUUUUUUUUUCUUAAGACCAAGAUUGAGAUCUCCAAUCGGAGCCAACUCCAUCUUGGGGGCAUGUUAGUGAAAGAUAAAAUUUAUCUUUAAUUUAAAUAUUAAUAUUUAUCAGUUAUUAGUUUUAAUUAGAGUAAAAGAUAGAGUUUAAAUUGGAGUAGGAGAUAAACUUGUGUUUGAACUAGAAUAGAAGAUAAAGUAUAAAGAUUUAUGUUUGAAUUAGAAUAAAAUAUAAAGUUUGAAUUAGAGUAGAAGAUAAACUUGUUCUUUAUUUGUAUAUAAAUAUUCAUCAAUUCUUGAGAAGAAGAUUAUUUCAUAGUUUUUCUAUCUUCUUUUUUCUUCAUACAUAUCUGCAAGAAAUUGAAGAUUUCAAGUAAAAUAUUUUCUGUUUUAAAUAGUGAAAAAAGCUAGAAAUUCACUUUGUUAUCUCUUGGGGUAAAUUGACAAGGUUUAACGUUAAGAAGGUGAAUUAUUUUUUCAGAAAAACUGAAGUAGCUAGGAUAUCUGGCCAGUUGUGAUCGAUAAAAAAGUUGUAAAAUCUCUCAUAUACUAAACAGGUUUUGGAUGUUGGUAUGGUAAAUCCAUCUGCAGUCAUUCGUCAUCUCAUCUAGUGAGAUGUUUGGGAGGUGGUGACCGCCGGAUUGGGUUUCAUUUGGUUAAAUCUGUCAGUGGGUUGGCUACUACCCGAGCCUCUUGCUUUGGGGGAGGUGGGUUCUAGAUAUAAUGUUCAAACCAUUUUAGUUAUCAUAUGCAUGACAUGUAAGCAUAAUCUCUUUAUCACUUCUUCAAUGGGAGUUCAUGGUUAGGAAUUGACUUCUUUUCUUCUGGGAUGCUUGGCAUGUAAUGGACAAAGUUACUUUUAUAUCGAUCGAAUUUCUAGUAUUAUAGUGAAGACUUACCCUUUUGACAUUUUAUAUCGAAUUAUAGAAGAUGAAAGGGACAUACAUGCAAUCGACUGACGCUUUAGUGAAUAUGCUGAAAAUAUGCUGAUGCUGUGGAGAUCGUAUGAGGACAGAGGAAAAAGAUAGAAAUGGAUAUAUAAUUAGACCUAGGUUUUUAUUAAAUGAGAUGGGGAACAUAGAGUGAGGGAAAAUCAAAAUUUUUGGCUGCAGUUCACAUUGGUGAUAUUUUGGAUUGACAAAGACUAACGACUUUUCUAUUUUUCUUUUCGGCCUGACUGGAUAGUUGGACAUGGACAAUACAGAAUCCACAGAAGGAUUGUUGGGACCGCUGAAAAUUAGCUAGAAGAAGCUGAGGAAGUAGUCUACGUAGUCAAAUACCAAACACAAAGAAAGAAAGAAAUGGAUAUCAUGGAUGCCUAGAGUUAUACUCCUAAUACCGUCACAGGUAUUUUUCUUUCCUCCUUUUUUUUUCUACGAUAAUUAGAGCAUUUCUCCUCCUCCUCCUCCUCCUCCCCCCACCCCACCACCAAAAAAUAAAAAAAUAAAUUAUUGCAAGUAACACUUCAAAUAUUAAUUUAUACAUUCUAAAGUAUAUAUUCAUGAAAUAACUUGAGUAUCAUACAUUAGUUCUCAAAAAAAAAAAAAAAAAAAAAAAAAAAUUACUGGAAGAGAAAAGUUUAAGAAAACAUAAAAAUAUUCAACUACUAUUUUAAAGAGAAAAUUUAAUUUUUACACUAUAAAUUUGAAGAGAACUUUUACAUGCAUCUUAUAUAAACUACCAUUUUUUGCUAAAAGGCUUAAAUUUGUCAAAAAUACCCCUUAGGUGCUUAACGUUCUGGUCAUAAUAUAAUUGGCAUCUUUUCUCAAACAUAAGGCCUGUGUGUGGGAACAAGAUUUAAUGUUAAUGAGCUUCGCCACCGACAUUUAGUUCCAGAAAUCAUUAUUUUAAUAGAGUGGGCUCAAUUUACAACUUUAAUUAAACUCUAACCAACUGCAUUGUGAAAUGAAUAUGUUUCUUUCGUGGUGAAUCCAAUGAGUUGGGAGUCAAACUUUGCUUCAUUGUGUAUAGAUGAAAUGUUAAGACUCCAUGUAACCUCAAACAUUUCCGCAAUNNNNNNNNNNNNNNNNNNNNNNNNNNNNNNNNNNNNNNNNNNNNNNNNNNNNNNNNNNNNNNNNNNNNNNNNNNNNNNNNNNNNNNNNNNNNNNNNNNNNUUCUUUCGUGGUGAAUCCAAUGAGUUGGAGUCAAACUUGCUUCAUUGUGUAUAGAUGAAAUGUUAAGACUCCAUGUAACUCAAACAUUUCCGCAAUGAGCGGGAGUUCUAAAUUUAAUAAUUGAAAUUGUCAGUGGAACCAGUGGACAAGAGUUGGUUUGUGGUUGACAAACUUAUCCGUUUGAUCUUUACUUGAACAGUUCCAGUGUGUGGAUGGGUACUGAUGAAGUGUGCGCAUUUAUUUUGAGAAGCCUGCUUGUUCGCAUAGAUUUUAACGACAUGAACAUUGUGGUAAGGUUAGAGAGUAAUGCGAAUGUAGGAGCUUAUAUUAGAAAUGACACAAACACGUAAAUAGAAGUAAUCUAUAUAUGAUAUUACUCAUGGACUACAAGCAAAGAAGUACAAUACAUGGAGUAAGUGAUGAAAUGAGCAUUCCUCACUACUACUGCUUGACUGAUGGAACAUGAUGCACGAGAUAGCAUAAGUAGUAGUAGGAAGCAGCUCUUAUUUGUGGCGUCGGUAUACAUCAUACUAGGUAGAUGGUUCAAUUGGCAUGGAUGGGUGGUGGAGCCUUGAAGUGCUUGUGAUGGGGAGCCCACGGCUUCUUCUCAGGAGUUGGUGGCUUCUUGUAUGGAGUUGAUGGAGGUGUUUCUACUGGAGGGUGGCCAGGGUAGUGACCCUGGGGUGGUGAAGGUUCUUUUGUCGGUGGUGGCCUCACUAUUAUUGGCGGUAGAGUUGGUGGCUUGGGCGUUGGCGGUGGUCUCACUACUCUUGGGGGUAGAGUUGGUGUCUUGUGUUUUGGUGGUGGAGGUGGCUUAACAGGAGUUGGUGGCUUGUAUUCUGGGGGUGGUUUCUCCACCGGAGGUGGCUUAUAAACUGGAGUUGGUGGCUUGUAUUCUGGGGGUGGCUUCUCCACUGGUGGUGGCCUGUAAACAGGGGUUGGUGGCUUAUAUUCUGGGGGAGGCUUCUCCACUGGAGGCGACUUAUAAACAGGGGUUGGUGGCUUGUAUUCCGGGGGUGGCUUCUCUACGGGAGGUGGCCUGUAAACAGGGGUUGGUGGCUUCUCCACCGGAGGUGGCUUAUAAACGGGGGUUGGUGGCUUGUAUUCUGGGGGUGGUUUCCCCAGUGGUGGAGACUUGUAAACAGGAAGAGGUGGUUUGUGCUCAUAUGGGGGUGGCUUGUGGUCAUUAGCAAGUGAGGGAGUGGUGAGGACCACCAAUCCAAGGAACAACACGAGUGAGCAAGCAGAAGACAUGUUUGGGCUCUGGUGAUGCACAAGUAGAAGAAAUGGGAACCAUUUAUAAUGCUUCGAGACCUUGGUUAGCACCAAAAUAUGUCAAAAUCUUGAUUACUUCAUUUCAUACAUAGAUUUAAAAUUAUUUCAAUCAACCAUGAUCCUUAAUUUUCUGGGUGGUCCAUAAAUGUAAUGGGGUCAAUUUGGGACCUAACAAGCUGAGAAGUUUGACAAUGCUGCAAGGCUUCAUCCGAAAGUCCGGGGAAGAAUAUUAGGAGUUACACUCCGUUUCCUUUUUUGGGUGCAUUUUUCUCCUUUAACAUUCUAUUCCCUUUUACAUUAGCAUUUGAUCUUAGCUCAUUUCAAGUACAAGUUUCUUGAACCCUAUACCAUUGUCAAAGUUGAGUAACCAUCUCUACUUUGCUCAAGAAACAUAAAAGACAAUGACAAUAAAGAAAAAGGAGAGAGACCAUACGUGACUUGGUUUAUAGGUGGCUUUGUGUUGACAUUUGAGUAUGGAAGCCGACAUGCAUCUUAGCUUCGAUUUUAAUUAAAUUUGUACAUUAGUGUCUGUGUCAUUCAUUUUGGUAUAAAAGGUCUCUUGAUUUCGUAAGUUUGGUAAGAACCGUUGAAAAUAGCAGUAGCAGCACAUGGUCCACUUUCUUUCACAAAAUAAUUUUAAAAGUUUAGAAGCAUAGGAGGUAACAUUAGUGGCCUUGUGGCUCAGCCACGAGUACUAUGUGGUGCUCGAGAAAUUGAGUUUAAUUUCCUUCCGAUAGUUCAUGAUAAGGUCCGUCACUGUCCUGAGACAGAUUGCGUUUUUUCUUUUUUCCUUUUUUAGUGUUUUAUUGACUAGCUAGGUGUGACUUUUCCUACUUUAAGGCACGAGGCAGAAAAGAAACUGGGAUUUAGUGCUUAAGAAGGCAAAUUUAAUUCGAUUUGGAUCUAAAAUUUGCCAGCAACAUGAGAUUUUCCAGCCUAUCGUUGCUCCACAUAUAGACAAGGCACUUGUAGAAGUGGCUUGUUUGUAGCCAUUCCCGAUAUUUGGACUCACUUGAUUCACCGGACACUUUGAUAAAAUUUAAUAUUUAUUAUUUAAUAAUUUAAAUUGAUUUAAAAUUAAAUUAUACCGAAGUUGUGAUUUAAAAAUUAUUAUUUAAUUCUUACUUUUAAAUAUGAAGAUUAUUUGAUAAAAAUAAUUUAAAAUUUAUUAUAAAUUAUCAAAUUAACAUAUUUAUCCUUAUAAAUUAUAAUUAAAACAGAAAAGGUCAAAUGAUUUGAGUAUCCAUAGAUGUGGUAAAAUAAUAAAAAAGAUUAUAAAAACAAUUAUGAUAAAUAAAGAUAAAAAGUAAAAUGAAUAUGUGAAUUUAAAGAAUAAAUUAAUUAUUUUUAUUUAUUACUUAAAAUUAUUUUUGACUUUAAAUUAUAUUAUUAAAUUAUUUUACCAAACAUACUUAAUUUAGUUAAUAAUUUAAAUUUAAUUUAAGUUAUUAAAUUGAUUCACCAAAUACCCACUUAAUCAAAGACUGAAGUAUACAUUAUUUGGCCAAAUGCAGCUAUUGAAAUUUAACUUUUUCCAAACUUAUUCAUUUUGUGGAAAUAUUUUUAGAAAUGAUUUUAAAAAUGCACUAUUCUGUGUGUUGAUUUUAUAUUUUGGCAUUAAUCCAACAUAGAAAACGGUUCUUAUUUUCGCUGUUAAAUAGGUACCAGAUCCUUAAUUAGUGCCGUGAAUCCGGCAGCUUCCAAUGAGUAAUUUGGACUUGGGUAUUGACAAUGUGUGGCCAUGCUUCUACUAUUUUAUUAUUCUUGAAACAUAUAUGAUAUAUUGGACUUUAUACAGGGAAAAAAAAAAAAAAAAGUCUUCACCAAAAAUGAUUCCUCCUAAAAAAUAGACUCCACAAACUAGGUUUAACAGGAAAAUGAUUCUAAUCUAGUAGUUUCCAGCCACAUGAGCAUUUACGUAACAAUAGUAUAGUUGAUAACGACUUUUAUUUUAUUUAUUUUUAAAUAGUUAAAGGGAUAAUUUUUGAGCUUAAAUUUUAUUUUUUUAUUUAGAAACAUUUUACUUUAUUUUUUAAUCAUAAUUCUAUUAUAUUAAUGUUUUAUUUUCUAUUUUUUAAUAUAUAAGGAGAUACUAAAUUUAUGUGAUUAUUUUUUAAAAAUUUAGUAUAUGAAAUUAAAUAAUUGGAUAUAUAUACAUAUAUCAUAUAAUGUUUUUUAAGUGUGAUUUUUGAACUUUUUAGUCAUUUUAUAAGUUUAAGCUUUUGAUUUUUUUUUUUAAACUUUGGUAUUUUUUAUUUUAUAUAAAACUAUUUUGAUUUAAUUUUAUUAAAAAAUAUUGGUAUUAUAAAUUAUUGUAUUAAUUAUUUUUUUAUAUUAUAAUGUAACUGGUAUAUACUAAAAAAUGUAUGCAAGUUCAAUUUAAGUUUCAAAUUAAAAAAUUUCAUUUAAAUAUUUAAUAACUUGUUCAUAAUAAAAAAUUAAACAACAUAAUACAAAUGAAAAGAAACAUAAAAGAAAAAGGAAAAAAUGGUCCUCUCUGUGUGUCACAUUACUAGGUCAUCCUCUUUUUCUAUGACCCUUACAAUAGAAUGGCAUAUUUGUCAAAUCUACUUAUGAAAGUUGGAAUGUUUCUACAUGUGUAGGGUCCAUUGGAACUAAUGGAGGAAAGGCUUAACGUCUAUGUAAAUCACAACGUUGCCUAGGUGGGCAUAGAUCUAGUUGUGUAACAUGAGAUGGUGUGAGAGUACAAUAUAUGCAUUGUAGUCUCUAUGGGAAGAGAGAUAGGUAAUGGUAGGGUGGUAGACGGUAGGGUGAUCUCUAAUAUAAUGACAUUUGAUGUGGUGGCUUCUAAGAGAGGAGAUAUAAGAGAUGGUAGAAUGACAUUUGGUGUAAUGGUCUCUAGUGCAAUGACAUGUGAUAUGGUGACCUAUAAAGAAGAGAUAUAGGUGAUGGUGAAGUGGUAUGUGGUGUAGUGACCUUUGAGAUAGAAAAUAGAGGUAAUGGUAGGUUGGCAGGUGGAGUGGUCUUUGGUGUAGUGACAUCAAUUAUAAAUGUCUCCAAGGGAGGAAAUAAAGGUGAUGGUAGGUAGUAAAUGUUGAGGUGGUCUUUGAUAUGUUAUGCUCUAAGAGAGAAGGUAUAGGUAAUGAUAAUAGGGAAUUUGACAUAGUGGUGUUGGAAAUAAAAAGUGAAAGUGACCGUAGAGGUGAAAGGGCAAGUGUAAAAGCCUCAAGUACGAAUGGAGUAAUUAAUGUGGAUGGUGCUAACAUAGUCUUAGGUGGAUACACAAAUAGUCAUAGUCAUCAACUAGCUUGCCCACCAUCUGUCUUUCUGCUAGUGAUAGGUUACAUCUUAAUAGUAAUGGCCAACAUAAGUGGUGUGGAUCCGAUUUUUUUACGUGUGUCCCCACUCAAUCGACAAGACUUAUUUUUUAUUAGUGAAAAAUUAAUUUUGGAAAAGUUGGAGUCACCACUUAUUUUAUUUUAUUUUAAAAAGGAAAGUAAAACAAGAAAGAGAACUCUAAAGAAGUGACUUCAUAGUUUUGGAAAAGUUAGUCUUAAAAAAUCCAAGUCUUGGUCCGGAGAUCAGGUUACUUAUUGGGAAGAUACCUCUAAGAGGUAAUACCCCUCUAAACCCUAAAGAAGUCUCUAAUGACUAAGUUGAGGAGAAUGUGGUAAUUAAUUAAUUGAUUGAGGGUACCUAGGUAGACUAAGGUGAUUUCAGAAUUAACAUACCAAGCUAGAAAGUCCAAUCAUGAUCAUAAAAGAGAGUCAAAGUAUGUACCUGAACUGCUUCUCAAACGCUAUCAUAAAACAUCAAAGUUAGUAUAGAAAUAUAACACAUAAUAUUUGUUUUAUCCAAGCAAAUAAAGCAUACAUCUAAGCACCCAAGAAUCACAUCAAGUAUGGAUAUAGUCAUCAAUAGCAUACGUGUCCAUAGAACUAUCGAAAGUAAAUGUGGAGGAGCGUAUCUGGACAACAUAGAUAACUUAUAAUGUGCUUCCACAAGACAUGGGGGUUAGAUAAAAGUUAUAAUAAUAAUUAGUAAAUGAAAGAAUUCUAGCAUGUUUGGUAUCUAAAUAACAUAGCAAAAAUGAACAAGAGUACACGAAAACAUCAAUUAUCACACGAGUCAUAUUGGCUAGUAUUUAAUCAAUAAACCAACAAUAAAUGACUAUAAACAUAUAAAAUGACAUAUUCAAAGAGACCCAAACAUAAAGAGCCUAGAACACAAGCUUACACUAAAUUUAGAAAACUAAAACAUGGAAUUUUAAAAGCAUAAAUUAGCAAACAAAUUGAUGGAAACUAAAUUUAGAUAACUUAAGAAUAUUUUUCUUAUCCUUCAAUUUAAAUCAGUAAGCCAACAAUAAAAAAUUAUAGAAACAUGGAAUAUCAAGAUCAAUGGGAUACCUAAACUAUAAUUUUUAAAAGAAAAUAAACUAAGCAUAAUAUCUACAAAGCAACUAAACUAACAUUUUUUUAAAAAUAAAUUAAACAUGACAUUAAUGGAGUAACCAAACUAAAUUAAAGUAAACUAAAAACAUUUAUGAAUUUUCAAACAUGGAAUCAGCUUUCUUAGUAAAUUAAAAUUAUUAAAAUAAAAUCUAAGCUUAAAAAUGAAUUAAAUACUAACUAAAGCAAAUCUAAAACCAAAUAUUUAACACAUAGGAUCAAUUAUAUUAACAAACUAAAAUUUUAUAAGAACACUUAAACCUAAAGUUGAAUUAAAAACUAACCAAUUUUUAAAACUAGAUCUUUAACCCAUAGGAUCAAUUAUAUUAACAAAUAAAUAAUAAAUAAUAAAUAAAUAAAACUCAAACCUAAAGAUGAACUAGAAAUGUACCAAAGUAAAUUCAAAACAAGAUCUUUAACACAUUAGAUCAAUUAUAUUGACUAACUAAAAAAAAAAAAAAAAAACACUCAAACCUGAAACGAUGUAUUAGAAACUAACCAAAGCAAAUUUAAAAUAGAGUCUUUAACACAUAGGAUCAAUUAUAAUCACUAACUUAAAUUACAAUUUUUGAAACAUGAACUAAUUAGUGUUGGAUUAAUUAAACUAAUUAACUAAAAAAAACUAUAAACUAGAAUACGGUGAAUCAAGAAUUCAAAUCAACAAACAUAAAAUAUGGGUACAAUGAAAUGAAAAUCUAUUAAACUAAUAAGACGGAAAUAUGACAAACUCAUGAACCCACAUUUUGAUCAACUAGGAAAUAGAAAUUAAUAGACCUGUAGCAUGGAUACAAUGAAAUGAGAUCAGUUAAAUUUAUUUGCCGAAAUUCUAAAAAACACAUACACUCAAAUAAGAUCUAAAUCUAAGACCAAGCAAAACUCAAACUUUCUCAAUCUAAUGCAAUGAAUCAAAACUAAAAUUAAAUAGAAAUCAAACCAUUUUUUUUUUAUCUAAUAUAAUAAAUCAAAGCUAAAACUAAACAAAAUCGAAUUUUCUUAAUUUAAUAUGAUGAGUCAAAGCUAAAAUUGAACAAAGUUCAAACCUUUAUAUAAUGGAUCAAAGUUAAAUCUAAAUGAAAUCCAUACUUCCACAAUUUGAUAUAACAAAUCAAAAAUAAAACUAGAUAAAAAAAAAGUCAAAGCCUUUCAACUUGACAUAGUGAAUCCAAACUGAAACGAAACAAAAUUUUAACUUUUCCAAUGAAACCCAAUAUAGAAAAAAUUAGCUUACCUUCUUUAGAAUAUAUGUAUGGGCCAUAAAGAAGUCACCUUGGUGCAUGUGUUCCUCACUUUGACGCCAAUGGACGACUUUCUAUGGUAGCAAAUGGAGAUCCUUUUUGGUGGUAACUUGCGUGUGGAAACCUAUGGUACAACCAAUGUCAUCUUUUAUUGUGCGUGUGGACCAAUUUCUUCUCGAGAACUCAUGUGUGUUGUGCUCAAAAUAUGUUGCCUGUGAGAAUCUAUUGGUAUACCCCACAUAUGGUUUCCUUGAGAGAAUCUGUGGUUGUGUGUGGGCGUUUUCUUCAUGACAGCAUGUGGAUGUUCCCAUCUAUGGUAGAUUGGUUGUGAUGCUUUAGUGCAUGGUCUCCAUAGGAAUAGUGUGUUAUGGAAAUUUGGUUUUUUUAUUGGUGCAUGUUGUCUAGACUUUCCCAUAUGCGUGGACUGUGUGUUCAUGCUUUUCUUUUCGGAUGGUCGCCUGUGUUAAUGUGUGGCGGUGUCUACAAUGAAAGAUACAACCCUUUCUCUCCUUCUGCGUGAUAGAAAAGUCAAUCCCCCAUGGUGCGACUAUGUUCCCUCGUCCUUUUUGAAAAAUUUUGGUGUUUUCCCCCCAAAAAAUCCCCUCCAAAAAUCUAAUUAUAAAUGUCUGCUUUGGCCUAAUGUGUGUGCUACUUUUUUUUUCCUUCUUUUUAUGGUUGUGCGUGCUUUUCUUGAUACGUGGCUUAUUUCUUAAGGAUAUGAUUCGCUCCCAAUUGGUGUCUCAGCUGAUUCAUGUCCUUUCAAUGGUCCCUGACAGUGGUGCCAUUUGAUUCGUGUCCAGCUGGUGUCCCUUGAUUGUGGUCCUCAGAAGGGAGUAAUCAAUAAAAUUUAUAACCUAUUACACCAUGUAUUAGGAUAGCCUUAGCUAGCAUAGCAUAGUGGCUCUAGGGUCGUUUAUUGGGAUGAGUUUUCACUUCACAAUUGAUAUUAAUUCAAGAGCUGAAUUGGUGCCUUUUCAUUUCAAGGUUAGCUUUAAAAGAAAACAUAAUCUUUGGUGGAAAAAGGUUUGGUUUUAAACUAACCAAAAAUAGUAACUGAUUUUACUUACAAAGAAAAGUGUUCUUUGGAGUUUAGAUCACUAGGCUCAGGUUCCUCAUACAAAAAGGAGAGUUCCGAUCAUUUGUUUCUUUUCCUCGCAUUAGAGAAUUAACAUAUAGUUAAUUCUCUAACCGGUGCGGUACAUAUGCUUCCCAUUAAUGGGUUCAAACACUAAAUACCUCUCACUGAUGCACCUUGCAAUGGCUCGUGCCUCUCACCUAGCAUUUAUCAUUCAAGGUGAUCUUUAACCUUGGAUUACCCAUCAAAAGCUCGCAAGAGAUAACUAAAGGAUGUCUCCUUAGAGUCCAAAAGCUUACCAAGUGUUGGUUAUUCUAGAAAAUCCUACCUUCAAACCACCUCCCAAAGGCUCGCAAGAGAUAAACAAGUGCAUCUCAAUGGAUGAAGAUCACUUGCCUUACCAAGUUUUGGCCCAGAUGAUUUAAUGACAUUUUAAGUUAACUAAAAAGAUAAAAACCAUUAACGGGUCACACUUUCUCUUCAUUAAAAACUAAAACAACAAAACUUCCAAUUUAUGCAUGAGGAAACUUACCUGGCUUUCUUCACUUCAAGAGAUGAAGAGCCUAGCCACUCAUCAUUUGAGGAAAAAUCCUCAGAGUUUGAUUUGCUAGAAAUAAAAAUAAUGAGAAAACAAAAAUAUAUAUAUGAAAAACAGAGCAAGUUCUCUGUAAUAUAUUUUUCUUCCUUAUACAAAAGGUUGUCUCUAAGAACAAGUUCCCGAGAUCUAUCUGAUUGUAAAUAAAAUUACAACUAUAUAUAAGAGGUUAUUCACCCCUUUGUUCUUUCUUAAAGACUAAGGAAUCCUAUGAUAGGUGGGUUACAAGGAGAGUUUGGGGAUUUAGACAUCAAAUAUCUAAAGCAAAAUAUCUCAAGAUGUUAGUCGGAAAUAUCAGGAAGCUUCAGGAGAACACCGCGACACUGUAUACUGAGAGAAAAACUCUCCGGGUAAGCUCUAUCAAAGGAUCCAGACAUGUCUGACUGGGAAAGUUGAAACGUCCUUCUCUCCCAUCCGGAUGUGAGAUAUCCGGAGAAAGUGAAAUGUCGGUCGGACAGAAUUCUUUCCCCGGGUGGAAUGAGUUGUGUUGCGCGUCGCAAGGGGGACCGUCUGCGUGUACAAGUUGUAGGGACCCCUCUCCCGGAUGACACCGAGCGCGUAAGGCUAUCCGGAUCAACUCCAUUCGGAUUCCCCAAGAGGACAUGUGGCGUGCUCCCCUAUCAGGACUCCCUUAGGGAGAAGCACACGACACUCGUGAACAUCAUACCCGGACGAUAGCAUGUCCUAUCCGGAUGUGUUGUCCGGAUCAUUGACUAAAGUGAGCAAGCCUUGCUACGUCAUUCGGACAGCUUGCCACAUACCAUGUUCCGUCGCCAUCUGAUGGUGUGUCCGAACGCCUUGUCCGGACAUCUUUUGCUCCUUGCAUUCCGGAUUUGCUUAUGACAAAGGACUUCAAAGCUUCGGUUCUUCAUGUUUCUGAGCUUUCCAUUGCUUUGCCAUGGAUUCCAAAGAACUCUCCUUAAUCACGGAUUGCUUUGGUGAUCAAAAAGUUAUCAAAACACAAAAACUUAACAUAGUUUGAUUAGAAUUGAUUGCAAGGGUUCUUAAUAUGUUAAUUGGGUUAAAAGGUGAUAACUACUACUCAAAAGUGUUUAUAAGAAUUAAUUACAAGCUAUGAAAUAACACUUUUUGAGUAGUAAUCAGGAUACAUCCUAGUUUUUCAUGGAAUUGAUAGUGGGUUGUUGUGCAUGAAUGCCACCAUUUCAACUAUGCUGUUGUUAUUUUUAAAAAAAAUAUGGAUUAUGCGCGAGUGGCAAUUCUCCACUAUGGAAAGUGGAUUGCUCCUUCAACCCAUGCAUGGCUACGUAUUCCUAUGUCUUUCUACUUGUGUUUGAUCCUCCAAAAAAAAUUUCGGUUUAGUGCUAGUAGAUUUUAAGUGGUGGAUCCCCAUUUUUUGAAAAUGAAGUGGCAGCCUCCCAUUUCAAGACAAAAUGGUAGCCUGCCUUUAAUCUUUGGAGAAAAAUCUGUGCAUGACCUUUUUUUUUCCCAAAAAAUCCGUGCAUGGUGUCCUUUAAUAUUUGGAGAAAAAUCUAUGUUGGAUCUUUUCUUUUCUAGAAACAUUUGUGUGGUCUUUUUUGUUAGCCCAAGGGUUCUUCUAAUCAAGUUUUGAUGAUAACAAACCAUGGUUAAGUGACUAAUUGGUUUAAUGAUUAAGAAUCUCAAACAUAAAAUCGAAAAUUCAUCAAAGGACCAAAUGGAUACAAGAUCGAGACGCUUGGAAGACUUGUAAUCAUAGGAAACUAAUGUAAGAUGAAUGCAUGAGUGCACUUAGGAUUUUCACACGUUUCAUGCAACUUAGAAAACCCAGUUUAUUCUUUAAAACUUCAUCCCAGUUUAUUCUUUUUAUGGUUGUGUGUGCUUUCCUUGAUACGUGGCUUAUUUAUUAAGGAUACAUCCCAGUUUUUCAUGGAAUUGACAGUGGGUUGUUGUGUGUGAAUGCCACCAUUUCAACUGUGCUGUUGUUAUUUAAAAAAAAAAAAAAUGGAUUGUGCGCGAGUGGCAAUUCUCCACUAUGGAAAGUGGAUUGCUCCUUCAACCCAUGCAUGGCUACGUAUUCCUAUGUCUUUCUGCUUGUGUGUGAUCCUCCAAAAAAAAUUUUGGUUUAGUGCUAGUAGAUUUUAAGUGGUGGAUCCCCUUUUUUUGAAAACUAAGUGGCAGCCUCCCAUUUCAAAACGAAGUGGUAGCCUGCCUUUAGUCUUUGGAGAAAAAUCUGUGCAUGACUUUUUUUUUCCCAAAAAAUCCAUGCAUGGUGUCCUUUAAUAUUUGGAGAAAAAUCUAUGUGGGAUCUUUUAUUUUCUAGAAAAAUUUGUGUGGUCUUUUUUGUUAGCCCAAGGGUUCUCCUAAUCAGGUUUUGAUGAUAACAAAUCAUGGUUAAGUGACUAAUUGGUUUAAUGAUUAAGAAUCUCAAACAUAAACUCGAAAAUUCAUCAAAUGACCAAAUGGAUACAAGAUCGAGACGCUUGGAAGACUUGUGAUCAUAGGAAACUAAUGUAAGAUGAAUGCAUGAGUGCACUUAGGAUUUUCACACGUUUCAUGCAAUUUAGAAAACCCAGUUUAUUCUUUAAAACUUCAAUUUCAUUAAAACCCGAGUUUUUAACUAAUGUACCUUAGGCAAAAUGUUUUAUAAUUGGCUUAAUAAUUCACCUAAAUACAUUUUCUAAGUGUUAGAAAAGAAAGGAAUUAAAAAAAGGUUUUCGGGGCAAAAAAGGCUCAACCGGUCGAGGCUAUGGUCAACCGGCUCAACCGGUUGAGGAACCAAUCGAUCGGUUGUGCUUGUCCGAUCGAAGACCAAUCGAGGGAUGCCAAAAAAUUUCUCUCUCUCCUAGUGGCCUUCUCUUCCCGGUCGAGGUUCGGUCUAGGCAACGGUAACAUGUCAAGCAUUAAAUGCUCCGACGACUAGUGAAUCGGUCGACCCCUAGCCCGAUCGGACGAGGUUGCCUUUUGCUGUUUUUGACUCCCGAGCUUAGAAACCUAUAAAUUGAGAGCUCCACUUCAUUUAUUGAUAAAAGAGAACACUUGCAUUCAAUAGUCUACCUACCUUUUCUUGAUCAAAAAGCUCUCAUUUCCUUCAUAGUGCAUUAAAUCAUCACUUGCAUAUCCUUUAGUGCACUAUUGUGUGUCAUCCUAGCUUUGUUUUGUAUUUGAGCUAUCCUUAAGCUAGGUUGAGGGAUUAUUUCUUAUAAAAAUCUGAGUGUUAAAGCCUUCAAGAGAUUUGAAUCUUGAAGAGAUUGUGUAAGAGCCCAUUGGAGCCGGAGUCCAAGUGUAAGAAGAUUGGAAGCUUGGUUGAAGCUUCAAGUUAGUGGAACCCUCACUCGGUUAGGAGGUUGAGGAGAGUGGACGUAGGUAAGGAAGUGUCGAACCAUUAUAAACCCGAGUUUGAAUUCUCUAACUCUAUCUCUUUAUUUUGCUUAUAUUGUGUUUGAAUUUGUUGUGAUUGAAAAGAUUUUAAAAACCUAAUUCACCCUCCCCCCUUUUGGGUUUUUUUUUCUUAAUUAAGCAUAACCUUUGUUUUCUAAUUUUCUUUUUAGGAAAAUCCAUGCGUGGUAUGUCCAAACUCUCCAAGUGGCAGUCUGCCUUCUUCUAAAAAAUUUGUUUCUAUUUCUUUAUUCGACUACCUUCCAUGUCUUCCUAAUGAGUGCUUGUGCUCAAUGGUCAAUCCCUGGUGGUUGCCUCCUUUUCCCAUAUAUACGUGUUGCAAAAUCAACAUCCCACUAUAUGUGGGUUGCCUCUAUGGCAAGUUCACAUUUCCCACAUGAAACCUAUGAGUUUCCACCAAAAAUUGCCAUGAAAAAGUCUUUAUAUGCAUCUCAUGCAAUAAAAAGUCAAGCCAAUACUCAUCUUAUCUCGAAAAAUAAGUAACCAAAAUCAAGAUCAUGCCUAAGUGAACUAUGCCAAAAGAAGUGUCCAAGUGACCUAUUAUGAAAAAAGUGCCUAAGUGACCUAAGGUGAAUGUGUGUAAGCUGGAAGGUGUCUAGGAUGUUUAGGACAAUGCCUAAGCCUAAAAUAGGGUUGCCAAGGGUCACAAUGGGGUUAGAUAAAUCUCUCAAUCAGAGUCUCCAAGGUGGCUCAUAAAAGAUAAGCUACACGAGUAAUGAUGGGCCACCAGGGAAUUAUUGUAAAGCACCAAACGAACACAUAAUAGGACAUGUGUUAGAAUGAAAAAAUGGAGGGUUUACAAGUGGUCUCAUGGAUGAGCUUGAUAAUUUAAAUGACUCACAUAAUGAACGUAUGUGAUGUUUCUCUCCAAUAACAAGCAAAACAUCACUAGCAAUAUGAUGAAUGUCUCCUAAAUCACUUGAAGUAGUCCUAGCAAAUCAAUUAGAAAAAUCACACAUAUUGCUCUAAUGUAAUAUUAUAUACAUCUGUCAAUGAAUGGGAGAACUAAUGACACAACCAUCAUGUUGAUAUCUCGAACCCUCUAAUCUCAUAUGUAGGUGGGAUCACACUUAGAAACUCAUAACACAGUAAUGACCAAUCUAAGUCAAAAUGUGUUGGUGAUCGGAGGCCCAUGAAUAUGAAGUUCUAGGAUGAUAAUGACAUCUUAUAAAGUAAUGAUCAUCUCCUUAAUAGAUAGGUGAAAUGUGUGUGUCUUAGGACACCAUCUCUCAACAAGACUUGUGAUCAAUCCCCAGUCUAGUGUAACAUGCCUAUUAUGACAUCCAUCGUAAAAUCUAGACUAGAUAAUAUAAGGACAAAUGUGAGGGUUCAUCUCCCUUUCCCACAUAAAUUUAAAAAAUUAUUAUUGACAAGUUAAGACCAAACUAAGUUGCAAAAUAUAAAUAAGUCCAUUAGAUAACAAAUUUAUGUUUUCUCAUUUUCUCAUUUUUAAAGAGAUAUUAUGUGCUUCCAUGUACAUACAUGCUAAAGUCAAUUAUACGAGACUUAUAUCCAUCUUGUAGAACCAAAUCGAACCUAUCUAAUAGAUCCAGAUUAGAAGUAUGUCCUCUAUACUCCAUAUUUAUAACACAUUUAUAAAGAUAAAUGCUAAAAAAAUGUUAAAGAUAUAAAUUUAAUGAACCAUACUUUAUGAUUUUAAUUCUCAAUUAUUGUUCAUAUUUAUAAGAGAAAAGUUAAAAAAAUUGAUAGAGUUUUCCCUCUAUCAUGGACAUUAUCCCAAAUAAAAAUAAAUUGAUUAUGCAAAUUACAUUAAUAUUUGUAACCAAAUGAUCAAUAACUAUCUUGUAUCAAUUUAGUAAAUAAAUUUAAGUAUAUCUUUUCAUUUAUGACUAACAAAUAACUCAUACUUGUCCAAUAAAAGCCACACCUAAUUUCUAAAAUUUUGUCUUCACCUCAAGUGAGUGUUACAUUGAGAAAGAAAAAAUAUGAAAGAAAAAAUGAACACCUUUUUCUUUUAAUAAAAAAAGGCCAUAACGAAACAUUAAAUCUCACUGUUACACCUAUCUUCAAUGGAAACAUGAGGAUGUGAAUGGUGGCGGUGAUAUUCUUUGCUUGAAGCUCAUAAACAAAUAUUCCUUACUAAGCCUAUGCCAUUUAGUAUUUCAAUAGUGGACCCCCCCCCCCCCCCCCCCCCCCUCCUUGCAUUUCAGAUUUAGCAAACUUAGAACCAAAUAACAAAGUGCAUUUGAACCCAUAAAGAAGUAAUGAGACUCUCCUAUAUUGGCAAUAGAAGAAAUUUUUGGAGGUAUAGGAGAUUCACGGAUGAAGAAGUUGGGCCCCAAUUGAGAUAAGACCCAAGAAAAGAUGGGGUAGAGAGGGAUGGUUGGAAAUUGUAAAGUAAGAUUUUCAAAAUGUAGUUGAUGACUAAGAUUUUGACAAUUUAAAAAAGGUUUAAAAAUGUAGUUAGCAAUCGGGGUUUUGUAACAUUUAAAAAAUAAAAUAAAAUCUCAGGCCACAUGGUAGCCCAUGUGAUUCAGAAGCUUGAGAAUUAUUUUAUAAGAAGACUUAAUUUGUGAUUUUUUUAUAACUAUAUUAUUUUUUUUCUUAACACACGAAAAAAAUUAUGAAAUAAGACAAUUUUCCUAAGAAAGCAUGUAAGUGACUCUUGGUUAUUUUAUUUAACUUCUUCUAGUUUGGAGAGGAUUAAUACCUUUGCUUUUACUCACUUGCUUGGAUAUGUACACGUUGUUCAUGUCACUUUUCAUUUAAUUUUCUGAUUAAGGGAAUUGGAACCGUACGUAACUGUCUUUAUUCCCUCUGAAACUUGGACUUGGAGUUGGACUUUCAAUCUCAUCAGUCGUGUUUCCAUAAAAAAGAAGAUGGAUUAACCAAUUUUCCUAUGCCUACUAAUCAUACACAAAACUCCACUUCCAAAUAAAAAGGAAUGGGAUAUCACUUGUUAAUAGUGGCUAAAGACUAUUAAUAACCAUGCAAAGAAAUGUCACAUUUUUUGUUCUACGCAAAUUUUAUUCAUCAACUACUAGAACCAUUUCAUACAAUAGUAGCUUUUCGAUCCUUUGAUAAAUGGACACUUGAUGUGAUAACACCAACUACACCUAUAUAUUCAAGCAAUCAUGCGUAUAUAAUAGUGGAUAUGGAUUACUUCUCUAAAUGGGCAAAAGUUUUGUCAUUCAAGGAAAGUGAACGAGGAAACACAAGUUUACUUUCAUCGGAACUAAUAUUAUAUAUUGAUAUGACUUCCCAUUAUUACUUACGAUGGAAUAUGCUUCCAUAAAAUGGCCUAGAUGAACAAACUAUCCAAGAAGUUUGGGAUCAAAUAAUAUAUAUAUAGUUCAUGUGUGAUUCUUUGGUUGACAACCUUGUUAAGGGGUGAGUGAAGCACUUUGGGCAUACCACAUACUACAUGCUAGACUUCCACCCAAGCUACCCUAUAUUCCUUAUGAACAAAGUAGAAGUUGUCAUCUCUCUUGAAUACCAAAUCCUUUCACCUAAUAAUGCUAUCUAAAAAGGUCUUAAAAAGGAUAAAAAUGCGCAUAUUUGAAUUUUUGAAUUAGGAGUGCUACUUAAAAAGAAGCUAGAUAUACAAUAAUAGAAUGUUAUCAAGCAUAUCUCUUCAAAGUUUUUGACCAAAAAAUAUAUGAUUUCUCAUUUUAGGUAGGAGACUUAGUACUCACUAUUCAAAAACCAAUUAUCAUUACUCAUAAAAACUAAUAGAAAGUUUGGGCCAAAGUAGGAUGGACCUUAUAUUAUGCAACAAUUAUGCCUAUAAAAUUGUUGCAAAAGAGGUUUUAGAAUCAAAUCAAUGAAUGAAAAAUUAUUAAAGCAUUACUAUGCUUGAAGGCUAGUCAUUUUCCCUUAAAGUGCAAUAUUAAGUUGCAUAGUACUAUGUGGAUCCGCAUUUUUCACAUGCGUUCCCACUCAUUGUCGAGACUCACUUUUUAGAAGUGAAAAAUUAGUUUUAUUAAAGUCGAAGUUGCCACUGGGGAUUUGAACCCUAACAAAAGGUUCAAUUUAAGGAUAAAAAUAUCGAUAAUCACAUAUAUAUAUAUUGGUACUUUGAUUUUAUGAAUAUAUUGAAGAAAUAUGGACAAAUAUUUUGACACAAAAUAUGUACAAAAUAAAAAUUAUAUAAAAAGUAAAAAUAAAUAUUUUAAAAUUAUUUUUUUAAAUAUAUAUAUAUAUAAUUUGACAUAUUUGAUAAUAAUAUAUAAGGGUCUCCAAAAAGCCCGUGGCCCGCUUUAGGCCCGGUCCGACCCGACAGGCUAAAGCCCGGCCCAAGCCCGCCGGGCCCAAGCUCGGCCCGAGCCCGUUUAUGGGUGGGCCGGGCCGCGAGCCCGUAGGCCUGCUCCUUUAAAAAAAAACUACAAAAAUAAAAAGUAUUAAAAAAAAUAUUCAUUUCAAAAUUUUAUUCAUUGAAUGUAUAAUUACAUUUGAAAAUGUGGGAAAAGUUUACAUCACUACAAAAUAAAUACAUCCCAACUAGGUUGGCACCUAUUUAUUUGUCAAUCAUCUGUAUUUUUCAACCACAAAAAAUAAAAAUAAAAAUAUAAUAUACAUUUAGUCAUUAUUUUCUGGCGGUGAUGGCGAACUAUCAUGCAUCCAUGAAGAUCUUGAUAAUUUUAAAGAUUCCAUAUCGGUAAGCAUCUUUGUUUCUCGAAUGGAAUCAUACAUCCUUUUAUCUGCUAUUUCCCAAUCUUUCACACAUAUCCCUGCUUUAAUAACAUCUGACGCUAAGUUGCAUCGUUUUUUACUAACUACUCUUCCACCUGCACUAAAAGCAGCUUCUGAUGCAACUGUACUCACAGGAACUGUUAGUACAUCACGAGCAAUUAUAGAAAGCACAGGAUAUUUGUGUUGAUGUGAUUUCCACCAUAUUAAAAUAUUAAAAUCUUCUUGAUCUUCAAAUGAAAUUAUAUCAGUAUUAAGAUAUUUAUCUAAAUCAGAUGUAUUAUUUGGAGAAUUAUUUGUUGUCUUUUUUCGACUUUUCAACAUUUCUAGAGCUCCUUUAUAAAAAGAUGAGGAGUUUGUAGAUGUAGGUGGUAAUUUAAUAGUAUUAAUAUCAUUACCAUAUUUUUCUUUAUAAUAGUUAUAUAAAUUAUAUAAUAAUGAAUUUAUUUCAUUUUUAAUUUCUUCAAUUUUUAUUUGGUCAUUAAAAUAAAUAAUUGUUAACCAUUCAUCCAAAGCUUCAAAUUUCAAUCUAGGGUCCACAAUUAAAGCAAUAUAAAAAAUUAAAGGUAUUUCUCCCCAAUAUUUUCUAAAUUUUUAUAUCAUUACAAAUAUUGUAUCAUUAAAUAUUUCAAAACUUAAAUAUUUUUGAAGUACAAUAAAAAUAUUAGUUAUUUGCGUAAUAACUCGAUUUGAAGUUGGAUAAUAUACACCACAAAAAAUGUUUGUUGAAGUAUCAAAAAUUUCAAAAAGAUCUCUUAAAACAUCCGCAAUAUGCCAAUCAUAAUCAUUUAAUGCAUAAAUAUCUGCUUCAUAAUCAUUGUUAAUUAAUUGUAUUUCAUAUAAUUCGACUACUUUUCUAUAUUUUGUAAUAUUUUCUAAAAGUUUAUAUGUGGAAUUCCAUCUAAUAGCCAUAUCCAAAUUUAUAUUUUUUCUUUUCAUAUUUAACAUUUUGCAACAAUCAAAAAAUAAUUCAUGUUUUGCUUGAAAACUAUUAAUACUAUAUGCAAUGCCUCUAAUUUUUUUCCAAUGUACUAUCAACAUUUUUUAAUCCAUCCUUUACAAUUAAAUUUAAAAUAUGUGCACAACAACGCACAUGAAAUAUUUUAGCAUGAUCUUCUUUUACUUGCCAAUAUCGUUUUAGUCUAUGUAUUGCUGCAUCAUUAUUAGCAGCAUUAUCUAAUGUUAUUGUCAAUAUUUUAUCACGAAUGCCUAAAUCUAUAAUUUCAUCAUUUAUUAAAGAUGCUAUAUUUUUACCACUAUGUGGAGUAUUUAUUAAUUUAAAUAAAAUUAUUCUUUUAUUUAAUUUCCAUUCAUUAUCAAUGUAGUGAACAAUUAUAUAUAAAAAACCAGUAUGAGUUAAAGAUGUCCAAAUGUCAGAUGUUAAACGAAUAUUUCCUUCAAAAUUUGCAAAAUUUUUUUUUAAAAUUUCUUUUUGUGUAUAAAUUUUUUUCAUAAUAUCUCUUUUAACUGUAUUUCCAGAUCAACCUUUAAAUUGAGGAUUAAUACCUCGUUGAAUUGUUCUUGCAAAAUCAUGAGUUUCCAUCAUGUUGAAAGGUUGUUCUGCUCUUAUUAUAUAAUCAAUCAUUUCUUCACAACAGUUAGAUUCAUCAUAAGAAAAUGUUUUUAAAUUUCCACUUUCAUUUUUACUUAAUUGCAUAUAAUUUCUAAUAUCUACAUUAUUUUUAGUUUUACAAUUUUCAUGAUGUCUUUUUAAAUGACUUGUAUCUGCAUUUGAGCCACCAGUAAGAAAUUUAUUACAAAUUUUACAUUUUGCUUUUAUUUUUUUUUUAUUAUUUUCUAAAAUUAUUUCUAUUCUAUCAAAAAAAUUCCAUAUAUUUAAAGUAAAUUUUUUGUUUGAUGAUAUUUCAUCACAUGGACUAGACGAAGAAGCACUUGUCAUAUUAUAAUUAUUGAUAAAAUAUUAUGCCAAAAAUAAUAAAGUAAUAAAUAUAAAAAAAAAUGUAACAAAAAAAAUAAAGUAGUAGGGGUGAAGUAUGUUACUCAAUUAGAGAACCUAUGCAGAAAUUCCUAGCAAAUUUGAACUCUUGGAGCCACCAAUGCUUGUUUUGCACCAUCAACAAUAUUGUAUAAUUUGAGGGAAAAAUAAAAGAAUUUAAAAUAUUGUAGAAUGUGAGAGAAAUAGAGAGAAUUUGAUGAAAAAAUGAAAAGGAAGAAAAUGUAUUUAUAGGAAGGUUAAAAAUAAUAAUAAUAAUAAUAAUAAUAAUAAUAAUAAUAAUAAUAAUAAUAAUAAUAAUAAUAAUUGGCCAUGUGACCGUUGGAGGCUUAGCUCCAACGGUCACAUGGGCUGGAGCUAGGCUCCAACAGUCACAUGACCGUUGGAGCCUUUAAUUUUUUUUUUUAAAAUAAUAUACUUUAUUUUUAUAUAUAUAUAACUAACUCAAUUAAUAAACAUAAAAAGAAUAUAGUUCAGUUGGUUAGAACCUUGAAGUUUAAACAUGAGGGGAGGGGUUUGAAUCCCUCCCUCUCCCUUAGGGGCUUUUUUAAAAGCCAUUUUGGCUUAUUUCAAAAAGCCUGUCGGCCCGACCCGCCCUGCAGCCCGCGGGCCUAGCAUUUUAGCAUGGCCUGGUCUGUUGACUAGUCAAAUGGCUCAUAGGCUCGGCCCGAACUGGGCCGCGGGCCUCUUAUUUACGGACCGGCCCGACCCGGCCCGCCCGUUGGAGACCCUUGAUAAUAUCUUCUAUAUUAAGUUACAUUAUAGUUUAUUUUACAAUAUUAUUAUGAUAAUAUGUCUAAUUUUAAAAUAUAUUUAAUAUUAAAAUUAUGAUCUAUUUUAAUUUAAAUGUAUUCAAUGAUAUCAAAUAAAUAAUAAUAUAUGUAUAAUUCUUUUAUUAUUUAUAUUUAUUAUUUUUAAUAAAUAUAUAGAUUAUAUAAAAAAGACCGGAUAUAUCUUUUCAAAUUUUGUAUCGCUCUCCAAGGAUAUUAGAUGUAUGGGAAUUUGUAUUGCUAUCUACGGAUACGUUGAUAUAUGGGUGAUUUAUCAGGAUAAUUAGAAAUUCUAAUUAUGUAAGCAGGUACGGAGUUCUGUGUCGGUGCGAUCUUGUCGACAACAGCUCCAAAUUGUGCAUCUUGCUCAUAGAGAGUAGCGGAAUGCACCAAUCGUAGGCUCAGAGUACCACUGAGUCGUCUGGCAGAGACCCAACUGAAGGUGCCUGUGUUGUUCCUGAUCUGAUCAGGCUUCAAACUACAAGGUGGAAUACUGGUUCCCCUAUAUCAGAAGCUGGAGAUACCCACCCCAUAUGCUCGUCUGGAUGUGCUCCUACCCUUUGAAGCCUUCUUCCGAGUCAAGUCCGAAUUGAUAAGGCUAGUGAGUUCCCAACCAACUGUACUCAGCAUGCUGCCAGGUGGAGACCCUCCAUAUUUGAUGGCUUCCUAAUAUUAAAAUGCUGACCACUGGUCUUCAUGUUCCACAGGCUUAAUUGUGUCCUUUGCUGAAAGAAUGGAUAGUGAUCCAUUUUAACACAUGAUUCACGCCGUCUUUGCCAUUCUUCAUGGUCUAGCCCUUUUAUAUAUAUGCUUCCUGAACUGUUGCUAUUAAUAAAAUGUGGUAUCUAUCCCGUACACCUUCCUGAUGGCCAGCGAAUGCAGAAGCUACAGAAACGGUUCCAUCUUUUGCUUCCGCCACUUUGGCAUCCUCCAUGAUGAGAUCGAAGGUGAAUAAUCAUAUUCUGGGGAUUUAUGUCCUGGAUAUUCUCAGUAAUGCCCAAUUUCCUGGUGCCGGCCUCAUUUCCAUGGGAACUGAUGGAUAACUUAAGGCUUCUACCAUCUGCGUGGUUCGCUUCUAACACAGGAAACUUCACGGCUAAAAGCAAGAUACCAAGAACAUCAAGGCUGUGACAAAAAUUAGUAUUUUUAACUUGUAGGAAUUUGAAAGGCAACCAACCAUCUAGCUCUGUUCUUAAAGCUCCCAUAGGAGGAUCAGAGGCUGGAUUGCUCAAGAUGAACUCAUCCAUUGUUGCACUUAAAAAGAAUUGGCAUGAAUUGUGGCCGCUCUAAUAGGUUCCCUAAACCAUCAUCCAAGUGGGCUUGCGGAAGGUAGCGAGUUUAAAACACCUAGGGCGAUGAACAGUGGACUGUGAUGCUCACAAAAGAGAAAAGGAAGAAUUCAAUAAUUCCUAAGAAUCCAUUUGCCUGUCAUCCAAAUUUUUAUAUUCUCUUCAGUCUGACGCGUUAUGCCAUAUAUUAAAAAUAGCGGCUUCUUCCAAGCCGAGACAGACUGUGCAAAGUUCGCAAGGCCAAUCAUCACCAUAAUCUGAAGUUGGCCUCCUCAAUCGCAGCUUGUAUCCGAAUGCUCACUUCACGGGAUGGAUUGUAAUGAAAACUAAUCUCAGUCCCAGCUAUGGCAGCAUCCUCACUUGACAGCAUUUUCUGCAUAUUCUAGAACAAAGCAAUAAACCCUCAAAGGCUCCUUCGGAUCAGAGUUAGAAGACUGUCCCUCAGGAACGUGAACACUAUGGUGGUUCUGAUAAGCAGUGAUAUUGCAUUAGAGCCUUUUGGAACAAGAGGAUCUUUUCAGGUGGAAACUGUAAACUGCUUCAUGUUGGGCUGCAACCUUUUCUUCAAGCAAUACUUUCUUUCUGUAUCACGACUUAUGUUGCUUCCGGAGCCAUCCCGUGUGGACUGCCCUUCAGUGAAAGAAUAUGUGUGUUGACAUGUUGGAUUGUAAUCUUUGUUCCACUCUAAUGGCUUUUGGUCCUCCUCUUUCUCUUUAUGACAGAGAACCAUUUAGUGAUCCAUCUCUAUAUUGUAGCAUUGCUGGUGCUUUGCAAUACUACACUCUCACCAAGCAUAACAUCUAUUUUUCCGUGACCAAAGUAUGUCGGUUUAUGCAUGCGCAAACUCUUAUUCAUUGGCAAGUUGUCAAGCGUAUCUCAUGAUUUCCCAAAGCCACAAGUUCUUAUGGUCUUUCUGUUCAAGCUUACAAUGAUCUAUCUUUUCUUGGUUAUACUGAUGUCGAUUGGGCUAGUUGCCCUGAUAACAAGCACAAUACUAGUGGGUACAACACUUUUCCUGGUCCUAAUCUCAUUUCAUGGGCAUUUUCAAAGCAGAAGGUUGUGUCUCACUCCAAUAACGAAUCUGAAUAUAGGGGACUCACUAAUUAAUGUUGUUGCCAAGGUCACUUGGAUUGAAUCUGUCUUACGUGAGUUGCGUGUUUCUCUACCCCAACCACCAAUUUUGUUGUGUGACAACAUUAGUGCUACACACUUGGACAAACCAUGUUGAAAUACACUAUCAUUUUAUCCAUGAAAGGCUUAUGCAUCACACACUCAAAAUUCAAUACACCUCUUCUAUAGACCAACUAGUCAAUGCUAUGACCAAAGCUCUUCCUUCAUCUCACUUGUACAAUCUUCAGUGCAAGCUGAUUGUUCUUCCCAAACCACUCAACUUGAGGGGAGAUGUUAAGCCAAUUUAAUAAAUUGAUUUCUUUUGGUUAAUUUGUUAGAAUCAUUUUUAUUAGAGGUUUGUUUGUACAAUUACAUCCAUUUAUCAGGAGAGUACACGUGUACAACUCCUCUUUUAAUCUCACCAUUGUAUAUAUAUGAUACACGACCUUACUCAGAAUUGCAUAACAUUUCCUCUGCUCAUUCCUUUUCUUCUUUGAAUUUUCCCUUACCUCACUGAUUUUGAUUUAUACCUGGUGUUUUCACCUUUGGUCUCUACCUUUCUAGCCAGUUUUCUAAUUAAUCCGUAUAUGGUAUACCUGUCAACUAAUGAGGAGAAAGAGAAAAGGGGAUUGCUGUUCCACCAGCUACAUAUAAUAAUUAAUUACAAUCAUGGUAAUGGAUCCUGAAAUCCAUCCUUUGUGGAUUUUGUACGGAAUAUUGUUGUUAUGUAUGUGGGCUCACUUAGAUGUAUAUUGCUAGCCUGUCUGGGAAAUGUGAUUGCAGGUCCAGAUUAUGAUGUUGAUAUUAGUGGGAUAAGCAAGAGAUGCAGUUAACACGUAUGUGAUGGACUUGAGUAACUUUUCCAUUUCAGUCCAUUUUUUAAGAUUAUGCUUAGUCUUAUUACAAGGAAAGACCAUAAGAAUCAUGAGUCAUUGGCAAGGUAAUAUCAUUCCCUCUUUACAGGCUUCUUCACCUUUUGGUUUUUUUAAUAUCCAUCAAGAUCUUUUAAUUGGAGGACAAUUACAAGUAUAUAUAUAUGUAUUAAAAGGGGAAAAUAUUAAAACAGGAAAUUUUAGGGAAAAUAUAAUAAUUAUUUCUUCCUUCUUUCCCAUAUAGAACUACACAAAAUAAAACUUUAAUAAUUUUUUCUUAUCUUUUUUAUUAUUAUUUUUUCUUAGAAACAUCCGUGGUCUCACAAGCUUGUAAUCCUAGAUUGUUAGGCUCCUUUAACAGUGCCCCAACAUCGUGGUCCAAUGACAAGCUUCCACGCCUUAAAAUCAGAAAAUGCCAUUAAACUUUAUCAGACAUUACAGUUCAAGACAAAGCUUUCAUUUGCUUAAUGUGAUAAUGAAAUUGUUAAUUUCAUUUCGUGGGCAUCUAAAUUUGGACGAGCAAGACCUCUGAAUUCCCUGUUUUUAUCACCAGCAGAGGAGAUAAAAUCUUAAUGGUGAGAAUCUCCACGUGAAAUUUAUGUGUACUGUCAACAUAUUUUUGUUUAUAUAGUCCAGUAGCUGCAGGAAGUCUAGAUUAUAUAGGUAGCAGUAGCACUAUUUAUAGCACUCGAUAUUCGCUGUAUGAAUACAUUAAACCUUGUUUUCAAUACGCAUCACAAGCAAGUACUAGAUACUACAAGGAGUGACAGUCGCAUCAACAUUUCUUGAUAAUAGCAGUGACUGAUUUAUACACAGAACAGUACUGUACACGUACCAGUCACCAGAGAUAGGAUCUUAUUCCUACAUACGACUCUUAUUGAUCGAAGUCACUCAGUUGGGGUAGCCUGGAGUUGGAGGUUUGUGUGGUGGCUUCUUCUUUGGAGGAGGCUUUAUCUUUGGAGGCAUCAUCUUUGGAGGCAUCUUGUGUGAGUCUUCUUCAGCAUUCUCUACAGGAGGAUGGCCAGGCUUAUGACCCUUAGGUGGUUUGCCAACUGGGAUUGGUGGCUUGUGUCCUGAGAGUGGCUCCUCUUCUUCGGGAGGUUUGCCAACUGACGUUGGUGGCCCGUGUCCUGGGGGUGGCUUGUGUUUUGGGGGUGGUUUCACUCCACCGGGAGGUUUACCAAUUGGUGUUGGUGGUUUGUGCUCAAUCGGUGGCCUCUCAACUGGGGGGCGCUUGGGGUAAUCAGCGAGUGAAGAAGUGGUGAGAACCACCACUCCAAGCAACAACACUAGCAAGUAUGUGGAAGACAUCUUUGAGUUUGGCUCAGAUGGUGUAGAACUAGAAUCCUGGGUGGCCUUUUAUAUUAGUUGGGCCCUAUGCCCGAACGACAAGUGUCAUGGUGACACAUAAAGUGAUGGGGUCGAUUUGGGCCUACCGGAUUUGAAAACUUGGACAAUUCGAGAAGCGUCUCCUGACUCCGGGUUGUAAAGUGAAAGAUUAGGUAUCGACCAUUGAAGUAUGAUCACAACUUUUGGCCUUUGGCUCUCUCUACUGCCGUAUAGCUUUUUUCCUUUGGAUAUUUUUCUUAGCUAGACACAAUUAUUGAGCAGUCUAAUCUCGAAAUGGGAUUAGUAUAGCUUUAAGCAAAUUUAUUAUAGUUAGUGGAGGACUUUUAAGAGUGCAGACGACAUUUAACACAUGCAUGCAGUAGUAUAGGGGACAUAACACUAUUCUUUUUCCAAAGAUUCACAUGAUUUUUAUAUUAUAGUAUUGGCACAUUGUAUGUAGCUGGUUUUGUGGUUAAAAUUCCAUAUGUAGACACUGGCGUUUCUCCAUUUCUCACAAUUGAUGUUUACCUCCACGAUUACUAGAUUAGAUAUACCAAACAAUAACACAUUGUAUAAUCUAUCCGCCCUUCAAAAUCUACUGUAUGAUGAAAUGUUUCAUGUGUGUGUGAAGUGUUAGAAAUGCACUAUAGGCAACAUCAUCUUCUUUUGUCUAGGCUUGGGCCUCAAAUUAUACUCCCAUGCCAUGAUAAAUUUUCAUGUGCAUUCUCUAAAGAAGAGUGUCUUGAAUGUGCCAAAUCAUUUUGAUUGAUUUUAUGAUGUUAAUUGCUCCGCAUAUGGAUGGGUAUGUGCUUUAUUUGCUUAUUCAAUCCACAAUUACCUUGAACUGAAGUCCUAUUGGAGCUCUAUUAUUUUAGCAACGUCCUGUCAAAUAGGCUGCUAACUUGGGGUGGUAUGGACCCAAUGAUCCAUCUUAAUCUUGGGUUGAUUUUGUCUGACUCUAUCUAUCUCAGAGAGAACCAGGAUCACCAGUGCUGGUCUGCUUAAAGAAGACUCAGUACUGGAUUAAUAUUGGUUUGGGUCAAUAGCUUAUAAUGCAUUGAAUGCAGAAUAAACAAGAUCAAUGAAACCCAAAACACACUGCCCACACAACUUCACUCUGGUGUCUGUUAUUCAUCAAUUCUAUUCCCACAUGAACUGGUUCAAGUUUAAGAAAAUGACAACGGAUCCACUGUAUUAACUUGGUUUUGCUUGGUUUUGAGCUAGUUGCCAAACCAGCCAUGAGUUUUACCUCUAAUGUCAAUGAACAAACCCCAAAUGAACAACUGCAACAGCUUAAAGAGAAGGAAUGGAGAUGAAAAUCCCUGUUUCUUCUCAUUCUGGGGACAAAUUAGAACAUAACUACAAAGGUUCUAUUAAUUGACUUACUCUACCAUGAAUUAUGGUUCUUUGGUUUUCCAAAUUUAAAUUGUACAUGAGAUUAUUUUUUUCCUUUAUAUAUAAACAUAUUAAGGUUUUCUUAUUUCGUGGGCAAAUGCGCUAAGGAUGAAAGUCAUUUCAUUUGGCUGCAACAGCAUCUUAUAAUCAACAUGCAUAAGCAGCAGUUUUAAUUGAUCGAUUGAACACCGACUCACAAGAAUAGAUAGAAUGGUACAAGACAGCUCUUAUUAAUUUAUACUCGUUACUCAUUUUAUGUAGCCCCAUUAAGAUGGCUGGCUGGACCACCGAGGUCUGGGGGUGGU